CACCUGCUCACAAUAAAGCACUGCUAAACAAGAAAGGAGGCUUGCAGGGUUUGUGGAGGGGAGAUUUGUGGCUGGGGUAAGGCUGCAGCUGACUGAAAAUCUACUAGAAACAGAAGUACAGUACAGUAAUCUGCCUUAUCAUGAGGAGAAAGACCUGGCCCUUUGGUGGAAUGAGGAAAGGAGGCCUUCAGAAAGGGUGGCUGGGCCAUUGAAAUUAUGAAGAAAAUAAAAAGUCAUCACUAGUUGAAGACAAAGACAAGAAAAGCCUCUUUCUUUCAAGGUUUAUCUGAAGAACUCCAUCUAUCCUUAUCAGAAGAUUAAAAGGAUAAAUGAGGCAGUUGUCAUAUUCUGCAUAUAGAUAUAUAGAUCUGUAGGCAUUUCUAUGAAUACACAUGUAUAUGUCUAUUUUUAUUAUUUUCCUGAAAAUGUCCCAAAUAUUUAUAAAUAUUUUAUAUUUAAUUAUUACAUCAUUCAGUGAAAAAACAAAUCUGUCAGAAAUCUCAUUUCUGUUUCUUCAUUGUCCUCUUUUGAGGUUCUUAUGAUCAGGAUGGAAAGGAAAAGACUGUCAUUGUAAAUAUAAAUUAUAAGUAGCUCACAAUUAAUUCAAACUUUACCCUGUGUCAGAGUGUAGGGAGAUUUUUAAAUAGAUUUUCUUAUUUUUGGAGAUUAUAAUCCAUGAAAAAAAUGCUACCUAAUUUUUGUGUAGCCUGAUUUUUCAUUCCAGCAUUGGAUUUCACAAAUAAUUUCUCAGCUUGCUCCAGUCAUGACAGAAAAUCUUAAUCUGUUGUUGAGUUUUGUGGAACUGGAGUGUGUGGGUUCUAUCCCACAGUCUCUGAGCAUGAGUCCAACUUAAGUAUUAAAUAAAUCUGUUUUCUGAAUGUUAUGCAUUGCAAUGCUUAAUAGUAAGUAAAUGUUUUUUAAAGACUCCCCUACAUUAUGUUAAAUGAACAAGACCCUACACAAAGUUUCACGUUUAAGAGUUAUAUUCAGGUGUUUCAAUGUAAAUUUCUUCUACAGAGACCUUAAUGUCAGACGAAAUUUUAUUUCUCACUCUGAGAGAAAUGUAGAUGCACUUUGAAUUGGUUUUGGGUAAAAACAGUCAGUGCUUUGUUAAUACUGGUGCUGGAUUAAUUCUGUUGUCUAUGUAUGUGUCUCACCUACUGAAGUCCUCAAGGGCUUUCUGCAUUUAUUUUUAAAUACCCAGCAUUUAUAAAACAUACAAAAUACAAUACAAAAGAAGUAUUAAUAUGAAUAUAAACAAGAUUUGUAGUUAAAUUCUAGAGAUAAUAUGCCAUCAGGGAUUUGGAGGAGCACUCUAGCAUAUGGUAAUUACAUUAAGUGAACCUCAAAGAACUGGCAAGUUUAAAAGGACCAGGAAGAGAAUUUCAAAGUUCAACACUUACAAGUGAGGUUGAGUUUUGAAUAUCUCAGCUUCUGUUCCAGCAUUCAGUCAGUUUUCUAUAACAGCUAAAGGAAAAGCUAAUUAGUGAAAAGCCAUUAGAUUUUGCAAACAUCCCUGAUAGAGAAAUUUCUCUAUUACAUGCCCAUUUCUCUUACGAUCCUAAAAAGGGCUACUCUGAUCUGGGCAUUUAUUUACUUAUUUAUUUCCAUCAGAGUAUGUAAGAGGGGCAGUAGAAAACAGAUGCCAUUGAAUAGCUACUCAUUUCUUUGUACUUACUUGGGACAGAACAAGUUACAUGAAGUACUGAGGGAAAAGGUGGAAAGCCUUAGCCAAAGCAUAAGUUAGAAAGUGAUGUGUGUGACAGAUAGGAAAAGGCAAGAUUAUAGAAAACAACAAAACCCUAGAGAGCAGGCAAGGUUACAAAAAAGCUGAAAGCCCUUGAACUGGCCACUGUUAUAUAUUCCCACGUUGUGGAUCUAACAGUACUUUGAAGCUUUUCCUUUUCUCUCCUCUCUUCUCCUUUUGUUUUCUUCCCCAAAUAUCAUAUUUAGCAUCUCACUUUCUUGACCCUUUUUUUCUUUCUGUUAUAUAUUUUUUCCAUUUUUUCAGGCUCAAAUCUUAUAAUCACUAUACUAAUACAGCUGCCCAAGUUUUACAAUGCUUAAAAUAAUUGAGCAGAGAAUAUUAUUUUCAUUUCAUCUGCUCUUCAUUUCUACAAGGGAACAAUUCAAGUAUUUUGUUCCAUUCCCUUCAAAAUGCUAAACUAGCUCUUACUCAAAUUAAAUGUCUUCAGAGAUAUAUAGCAGCUAUAUGUUAGAAAAUUUGCACUUUUAUUUUGUAUGCAUUUAAAUAUAUUUUUUAUAAAAGAUGCAAUAAUCUAAAUUAAUGACCACCCUGAUAAGUAUGAUGGCCAUACCUUGUCUCUAAAUUACAAAAUCCUGUUUCAUUGAUAAAUGAAACCUCCUUUCUUUCAGGUUCAAACUUUCACUGUAAAUAUUGAUAGUUUUUAUGUAACUAUUUUGUUUAGAAUUUUUUCUUGUUUGUGCAAAAGUGGAAGUGCUCUAAAUAGAGAAAGAAAACUCCAUAAAAUUCCUUAAUGAA